rnacentral:misc_RNA from 1 species
AAGUCGUAACAAGGUCUCCGUUGGUGAACCAGCGGAGGGAUCAUUAGCGAGUUAAUUACAAACUCCAAACCCAUGUGAACAUACCUACUGUUGCCUCCGGGGCGACCCUGCCUUCGGGCGGGGGCUCCGGGUGGACACUUCAAACUCUUGCGUAACUUUGCAGUCUGAGUAAAUUAAUUAAUAAAUUAAAACUUUUAACAACGGAUCUCUUGGUUCUG